CCAAUAUGCUGUAUGUCACCCACAUACAUAACCAAAAAGUUAAUGAAACUCACUUAUCUUCUUGCACACACAUAUUGUUCAUCUAUAUUUGAUAAAGUCAAAUAUUUUGACUGUUCCAUCAAUAAUGAAAGUACCUACUCCUCAUAAAUCUAUCUGAAUUCAUAAAUGCAUUUGCCCUCCCACUAGAGACUGCUUCUCUAGAUUCUGUAUGGCAAUAGCAAAAAUUUGAAUAGGCAUCUCUGAUAGCAAUUUGUUGGGUCAUACCCAUAGGUGCUUCAACCAUAGUCCACACUUGAUUGAUGUAUAGGGAGUCGAUUUCGGAUGAUAAGAUUUCAAGUCAGCUGUUAGAGUCUCUACUUAUAACAAUCUUCGAAUGGAUCAAGUAAAACAUCAUUCAUAAUGAUAUAUGGUAUACUGUCAUUCACAAUAACAAAUUUAUAUUUUGAGUGGUACAUUACACACUCAAAUUGAUCUUUCGAUGAGGA
rnacentral:lncRNA from 1 species